rnacentral:rRNA from 1 species
UACGUAGGGUGCAAGCGUUAUCCGGAAUUAUUGGGCGUAAAGAGCUCGUAGGCGGUUUGUCGCGUCUGCUGUGAAAAUGGAGGCUCAACCUCCAGCCUGCAGUGGGUACGGGCAGACUAGAGUGCGGUAGGGGAGAUUGGAAUUCCUGGUGUAGCGGUGGAAUGCGCAGAUAUCAGGAGGAACACCGAUGGCGAAGGCAGAUCUCUGGGCCGUAACUGACGCUGAGGAGCGAAAGCAUGGGGAGCGAACAGG